AACGAACGCUGGCGGCAUGCCUAACACAUGCAAGUCGAACGAGACCUUCGGUUCUAGUGGCGCACGGGUGCGUAACGCGUGGGAACCUGCCCUUAGGUUCGGAAUAACUCCCCGAAAGGGGUGCUAAUACCGGAUAAUGUCUUCGGACCAAAGAUUUAUCGCCUUUGGAUGGGCCCGCGUUGGAUUAGCUAGUUGGUAGGGUAAAAGCCUACCAAGGCGACGAUCCAUAGCUGGUCUGAGAGGAUGAUCAGCCACACUGGGACUGAGACACGGCCCAGACUCCUACGGGAGGCAGCAGUGGGGAAUAUUGGACAAUGGGCGAAAGGCUGAUGCAGCAAUGCCGCGUGAGUGAUGAAGGCCGUAGGGUUGUAAAGCUCUUUUAACCGGGAUGAUAAUGACAGUACCGGGAGAAUAAGCUCCGGCUAACUCCGUG
rnacentral:rRNA from 1 species